rnacentral:rRNA from 1 species
UACGAAGGGUGCUAGCGUUGCUCGGAAUCACUGGGCGUAAAGGGUGCGUAGGCGGGUCUUUUAGUCCGGGGUGAAAUCCUGGAGCUCAACUCCAGAACUGCCUUUGAUACUGAGGAUCUUGAGUUCGGGAGAGGUGAGUGGAACUGCGAGUGUAGAGGUGAAAUUCGUAGAUAUUAGGAGGAACACCGGUGGCGAAGGCGGCUACCUGGACCGAUAUUGACGCUGAGACACGAAAGCGUGGGGAGCAAACAGG